rnacentral:lncRNA from 1 species
UAAAUCCAAGUGACUAAAUGGUUAAAAACCAUUUUUAUUGUUGAUUUGGUAAACACCUGAAGUCAUGUUUGGGAGAAAACUAUGAAAGAGAACUUAAUCCAGUGCAGCAAUGACCGUGACAAAGAGUCAGGACUAAUUCCCCCGAGUAACUUGACUGCUGAGCUUUGUUCCAACUCACGCAGUGCAAAGUUAAAAUAAAUCACACAAAUGACUAAGAAUUAUAUAAGCCUUGUGAAUAUAAAAUGAACGCAAGCCUUUUUUUCUAGUUAGAUGCUGUAAUACAGCAUCUAUCCUGUCUUUAACAGUUUGCAUAGGACUACAAAGAACAUUUUCUGUAUGAAUAGGCACUAUAAAAACAUUCUAUUGCUGUGCAAUCUCAUAAUAUAUCUGACGCAUUGCCAGAGCCAAAGGCUAGGAUGCAAUCUAAGUAAGUUUGUUUCCUCCUUAGAACAGUCUGGUCUUUCAAAGGGAUCUCUACCCAACGCCUUUGUGAUCUUAGGUAGAAAUUCGCCUUACAAACAGCCCAUUACGGCUUCAAAAAAUUUGAAUGAUAAAAUUUGAUGUUUGGUGUAUUUUCCUUUCUUGAAUUUCCAUUACUGAAAAUUAAGAUUUGAAGAUUCUUUCCAGAAACCUUUACAUUUCUAAAGACAACAAAUAAAAUAAUUACUUCUUCUUAUCCCCUUCAUGCCAACUGGCUGAAGUUUGACUUAUUUUUUUCUUCGUUUUAGAUUUGACACAUCCAUUGCCAAAUGAAUAAAAUGCCUCUUAUGCUUAUUCAGAAAUACAGAGUUCUUAAAUGUUUUUCCCCAACAACCUGUUUGGCUCCAAACAAACAAAGAGAGUGAACAAAAUAUACGUGUGUGUCUACUUUUUCAACCUCUCCGUUAACCUCAUUACAGCUCCUUCUCUGCCUCGACUCCACAAAGCUUGUCGUCCUAGCAACAGACCAGCAUAUGCCGUGAUGUGGACAAGGGUUGAGAAGCGCUGCUGUCCACUGUCAGGCAGGCUUCUUACCCUGCAGCCCUGGAGGGAUGUCAGUGGGUGUGUCACAGACACAGGCACAUCUUUCUGAAGAGAUGAUCCACAGUUUUCAUCUGGUUCUUCCACGUCUUCUCAGGACUUGACAGCGCAUUUCUUUUCAGCACUGAAAUAUAUUCCCUCGCCUGAAUCUGCCACAGUAUCAGAAUGCAGCUGAGUGCAGGAGACUAGACAUGUCGGUGCUGGCUGCAGCUUUGUAAUAAAAGCACUGAAGGUGAAUGAUGCGUUUUAGUU